UAUUAAAAAUUUCAUCUAUUUCUACUGUUAACAUUUGGUGUAAUUGACAGAAUAAUUAAAGAAUUACACAUGGUGUGCUACGUCUAUCUCAUCCUGACGUAUAGAGACUAGUUUUUAACAGUAGAAAUAGAUAAAAUUUUUAACA
rfam:Gossypium hirsutum cultivar TM-1 chromosome 1, whole genome shotgun sequence